GACGGAGGAUGCAAGCGUUAUCCGGAAUUAUUGGGCGUAAAGCGUACGUAGGUGGUUUGCCAAGUCUGGGGUUAAAUCCCGCAGCCUAACUGCGGAACAGCCUUGGAAACUGGCAGACUUGAGUGCGGUAGGGGUAAGGGGAAUUAGUCGUGUAGCGGUGAAAUGCGUAGAUAUGACUAAGAACACCUGUGGCGAAAGCGCCUUACUGGGCCGUAACUGACGCUGAGGUACGAAAGCUAGGGGAGCGAAAGGG
rnacentral:rRNA from 1 species